rnacentral:rRNA from 1 species
GACGAACCGUGCGAACGUUGUUCGGAAUCACUGGGCGUAAAGCGCACGUAGGCGGAUCGUUAAGUCGGGGGUGAAAUCCUGGAGCUCAACUCCAGAACUGCCUUCGAUACUGGCGAUCUUGGAGUCCGGGAGAGGUGAGUGGAACUCCGAGUGUAGAGGUGAAAUUCGUAGAUAUCGAGAGGAACACCGGUGGCGAAGGCGGCCUUCUGGACAGUGACUGACGCUGAGACGCGAAAGCGUGGGGAGCAAACAGG